rnacentral:rRNA from 1 species
GACGGAGGGUGCAAGCGUUGUUCGGAAUUACUGGGCGUAAAGGGCGCGUAGGCGGUCUGUUAAGUUCGGUGUGAAAGCCCCCGGCUCACCUGGGGAACUGCGCCGGAAACCGACAGACUCGAGUACCGGAGAGGAGGGUGGAAUUCCUGGUGUAGCGGUGAAAUGCGUAGAUAUCAGGAGGUACACCGGUGGCGAAGGCGGCCCUCUGGACGGAUACUGACGCUGAGGAGCGAAAGCGUGGGGAGCGAACAGG